AAAUUCAUUCAGUUAGACAACAUUUUAUUAGUUAGUACAGGCUUGUCUAUAAGGCCAUGUUACGAUGCUAACAAAAACACUUGUAUGUUAGCUUUCCAGUCACACAACACUAUGUAAAACCCUUGUUUGAACUACUCGUAAACAACACAAAAAAUAAAACACUUGUCUAAUUACAACAACGGUUUCUUGAACUAUUGUCUGAAAUUUCUUCACACAUCGGCUCUCAAAACAGUUGUCUAACAUGCAUCAUUACACA
rnacentral:lncRNA from 1 species